rnacentral:rRNA from 1 species
UACUAGAUAGUGGGUGCUACACCGUACUCACCGUCGUAGCUAACGCGUUAAGUAUUUCGCCUGGGAACUACGAUCGCAAGUUUGAAACUCAAAGGAAUUGACGGGGUCCCCGCACAAGCAGCGAGGCAUGUGGCUUAAUUCGAUGCAACACGAAGAACCUUACCUGGACUUGACAUGUUUCUGAAAGGCCGGAGAAACCCGGUCCCUUCCAGUUUACUGGAACAGUUUCACAGGUGGUGCAUGGUUGUCGUCAGCUCGUGUCGUGAGAUGUAAGGUUAAGUCCUUAAACGAGCGUAACCUUUGUCAUUAGUUGCCACCGGUUCGGCCGAGCACUCUAAUGAGACCGCUAGCGACAAGCUCGAGGAAGAUGGAGAUGACGUCAAAUCCUCACGUCCCUUAUGUCCAGGNCCGCACACAUGCGACAAUGGUAGAGACAGCGGGUUGCGACGGGGUAACCCUGAGCUUAUCCAUAACUCUGCCCUCAGUACAGAUCGAGGGCUGAAUUCGACCUCGUGAGAUGGAGUGCUAGUAACGCAGUCAGCUCUACCCGUUGAUACGUCCCGGGGUUGUACACACCGCCCGUCACACCACCCGAGUCG